UACGUAGGGGUCGAGCGUUGUCCGGAGUUACUGGGCGUAAAGCGCGCGCAGGUGGCUCAUUACGCCCGGCGUGAAAGCCCCCGGCCUAACCGGGGAAGGUCGUCGGGUACGGGUGAGCUUGAGGGUAGCAGGGGCUGGUAGAAUUCCCGGUGUAGUGGUGAAAUUCGUAGAUAUCGGGAGGAACACCGGUGGCGAAGGCGGCGACCUGGGUAGAUACUGACGCUGAGGUGCGAAAGCGUGGGGAGCAAACAGG
rnacentral:rRNA from 1 species